CACGUAGGAGGCGAGCGUUGUCCGGAAUCAUUGGGCGUAAAGAGCGCGCAGGCGGCUUGGCAAGUCGGGUGUGAAAUCCCGGGGCUCAACCCCGUGACUGCAUCCGAUACUGUCAGGCUAGAGGUAGGUAGGGGAGAUCGGAAUCCUGGUGUAGCGGUGAAAUGCGCAGAUAUCAGGAGGAACACCGGUGGCGAAGGCGGAUCUCUGGGCCUUACCUGACGCUCAGGCGCGAAAGCUAGGGGGAGCGAACAGG
rnacentral:rRNA from 1 species